AGCGAACGCUGGCGGCAGGCCUAACACAUGCAAGUCGAACGAAGUCUUCGGACUUAGUGGCGGACGGGUGAGUAACACGUGGGAACGUACCUUUUGGUUCGGAACAACUCAGGGAGACUUGAGCUAAUACCGGAUGAGCCCUUAGGGGGAAAGAUUUAUCGCCGAAAGAGCGGCCCGCGUUAGAUUAGCUAGUUGGUGAGGUAAAGGCUCACCAAGGCUACGAUCUAUAGCUGGCCUGAGAGGAUGAUCAGCCACACUGGGACUGAGACACGGCCCAGACUCCUACGGGAGGCAGCAGUGGGGAAUCUUGCGCAAUGGGCGAAAGCCUGACGCAGCCAUGCCGCGUGAAUGAUGAAGGUCUUAGGAUUGUAAAAUUCUUUUACCAGGGACGAUAAUGACGGUACCUGGAGAAAAAGCCCCGGCUAACUUCGUGCCAGCCGCCGCAGUAAAAC
rnacentral:rRNA from 1 species